UGGCUCUCGCAUCGAUGAAGAACGCUGCGAAAUGCGAUAAGUAAUGUGAAUUGCAGAAUUCAGUGAAUCAUCGAAUCUUUGAACGCACCUUGCGCCCUUUGGUAUUCCGAAGGGCAUGCCUGUUUGAGUGUCAUUAAAUUUUCAAACUCGCCUCCGUCUCUCGCGAGCGACGGCGCAGUCUUGGAUCUUGGAGCUUGCGGGGUCGUCCGCUUCUCUUGAAAAACAUCAGCAGGUCUCUCUCGAGAUACCUUGGCGUGAUAAACAUCUACGUCGACGGCCUGACCGAGUGUAUAGAGCGCUGCUUACAAUCGUCCGUGCUCGCGGACAAACUUACAAUGACAAUUUUGGCCUCAAAUCAGGUAGGACUACCCGCUGA
rnacentral:misc_RNA from 1 species